GGUAUAUGAGUGCGAUGUGCGUCGUGAAUACGUGUGGGGCAAGGUUGUUCCGGAAUGAUUGGGGGUAAAGUGCGGGUGGGCGGUGCGGUAAGUCGGCUGGGAAAGUCCAGGGCGCAACCCUGGGAUGCCGGUCGAGACUGCCGGACUAGAGUGCGGAAGAGGCGAGUGGAAUUCCCGGUGUAGCGGUGAAAUGCGCAGAUAUCGGGAGGAACACCAAUGGCGAAGGCAGCUCGCUGGGACGUUACUGACGCUGAGACGCGAAAGCGUGGGGAGCAAACAGGAUUAGAUACCCCUGUAGUC
rnacentral:rRNA from 1 species